rnacentral:rRNA from 1 species
CAAUAGCAUAUAUUAACGUUGUUGCAGUUGAAAAGCUCGUAGUUGAACUUUUGGUAGGAGCGACCUGGCCUUGGGCGCAUGCCCUUGUUUGCCGUGUGUCGUGUCUGGCCAUCCUUUUCUUCGUUUUUCGGAGGAAUCUUUUACUGUGAGUAAACUGGAGUGCUCAAAACAAGACGUUUGUUUGGUACAUUAAAGCAUGGAAUAAUAAGAUAGGACCUGGUUACUAUUUUGUUGGUUUGCAUAGCUAGGUAAUGAUUAACAGGGACAGUUGGGGGUAUUCGUAUUUAAUUGUCAGAGGUGAAAUUCUUGGAUUUAUGAAAGACGAACGACUGCGAAAGCAUUUACCAAGGAUGUUUUCAUUGA